rnacentral:rRNA from 1 species
AUUGAACGCUGGCGGCAGGCCUAACACAUGCAAGUCGAACGGUAACAGAAAGCAGCUUGCUGCUUUGCCGACGAGUGGCGGACGGGUGAGUAAUGUCUGGGAAACUGCCUGAUGGAGGGGGAUAACUACUGGAAACGGUAGCUAAUACCGCAUAACGUCGCAAGACCAAAGAGGGGGACCUUCGGGCCUCUUGCCAUCGGAUGUGCCCAGAUGGGAUUAGCUAGUAGGUGGGGUAACGGCUCUCCUAGGCGACGAUCCCUAGCUGGUCUGAGAGGAUGACCAGCCACACUGGAACUGAGACACGGUCCAGACUCCUACGGGAGGCAGCAGUGGGGAAUAUUGCACAAUGGGCGCAAGCCUGAUGCAGCCAUGCCGCGUGUAUGAAGAAGGCCUUCGGGUUGUAAAGUACUUUCAGCGAGGAGGAAGGUGUUGUGGUUAAUAACCACAGCAAUUGACGUUACUCGCAGAAGAAGCACCGGCUAACUCCGUGCCAGCAGCCGCAGUAA